AACGCGAAGAACCUUACCAGGCCUUGACAUCCUGAGAAUUCGGUAGAGAUACCUUAGUGCCUUCGGGAACUCAGUGACAGGUGUUGCAUGGCUGUCGUCAGCUCGUGUCGUGAGAUGUUGGGUUAAGUCCCGUAACGAGCGCAACCCUUAUCCUUAUUUGCCAGCACUUCGGGUGGGAACUUUAAGGAGACUGCCGGUGACAAACCGGAGGAAGGAGAGGAUGACGUCAAGUCAUCAUGGCCCUUACGGCCUGGGCUACACACGUGCUACAAUGGACAGUACAGAGGGCCGCAAUACCGCGAGGUGGAGCAAAUCCCAGAAAACUGUUCGUAGUCCGGAUCGGAGUCUGCAACUCGACUCCGUGAAGUCGGAAUCGCUAGUAAUCGCGAAUCAGCAUGUCGCGGUGAAUACGUUCCCGGGUC
rnacentral:rRNA from 1 species